GCAGGUGUAACUCAAUGGUAGAGUUCUGGCUUCCCAAGCCAGCUACGCGGGUUCGAUUCCCGUCACCUGCU
rnacentral:tRNA from 1 species